GUGGUUAAGCUACUAAGGGUGUCUGGUGGAUGCCUAGGCACCAGGAGGCGACGAAGGGCGUGGCAAGCUGCGAUAAGCCCGGGGGAGGCGCAAGC
rnacentral:rRNA from 1 species